GGUGACCUGCGGAGGGAUCAUUAUAGAGUUUUCUAAACUCCCAACCCAUGUGAACUUACCUUUUGUUGCCUCGGCAGAAGUUAUAGGUCUUCUUAUAGCUGCUGCCGGUGGACCAUUAAACUCUUGUUAUUUUAUGUAAUCUGAGCGUCUUAUUUUAAUAAGUCAAAACUUUCAACAACGGAUCUCUUGGUUCUGGCAUCGAUGAAGAACGCAGCGAAAUGCGAUAAGUAAUGUGAAUUGCAGAAUUCAGUGAAUCAUCGAAUCUUUGAACGCACAUUGCGCCCAUUAGUAUUCUAGUGGGCAUGCCUGUUCGAGCGUCAUUUCAACCCUUAAGCCUAGCUUAGUGUUGGGAAUCUACUUCUCUUAGGAGUUGUAGUUCCUGAAAUACAACGGCGGAUUUGUAGUAUCCUCUGAGCGUAGUAAUUUUUUUCUCGCUUUUGUUAGGUGCUAUAACUCCCAGCCGCUAAACCCCCAAUUUUUUGUGGUUGACCUCGGAUCAGGUAGGAAUACCCGCUGAACUUAAGCAUAUCAAUAAGCGGAGGAAAAGAAACCAACAGGGAUUGCCUUAGUAACGGCGAGUGAAGCGGCAACAGCUCAAAUUUGAAAUCUGGCCCUUGGGUCCGAAUUGUAAUUUGUAGAGGAUGAUUUUGGUGCGGUAUCUUCCGAGUUCCUUGGAACAGGACGCCUUAGAGGGUGAGAGCCCCGUACGGUUGAAUGCCUAGCCUCUGUAAAUCUCCUUCGACGAGUCGAGUAGUUUGGGAAUGCUGCUCUAAAUGGGAGGUAAAUUUCUUCUAAAGCUAAAUAUUGGCCAGAGACCGAUAGCGCACAAGUAGAGUGAUCGAAAGAUGAAAAGCACUUUGAAAAGAGGGUUAAAUAGCACGUGAAAUUGUUGAAAGGGAAGGAUUUGUGACCAGACUUUUUCUGGGCGGAUCAUCCGGGGUUCUCUCCGGUGCACUUCGCCCAGUAAAGGCCAGCAUCGGUUUUCGGCGUGGGAUAAAAGCAGUAGGAAUGUGGCUCUCUACGGGGAGUGUUAUAGCCUAUUGUAUAAUACCGCGCUGGGGACCGAGGUUCGCGCUC
rnacentral:rRNA from 1 species